UAGUUUGAUCCUGGCUCAGAUUGAACGCUGGCGGCAUGCCUUACACAUGCAAGUCGAACGGCAGCACGGGGGCAAUCCCUGGUGGCGAGUGGCGAACGGGUGAGUAAUACAUCGGAACGUGUCCUGUAGUGGGGGAUAGCCCGGCGAAAGCCGGAUUAAUACCGCAUACGCUCUACGGAGGAAAGGGGGGGAUCUUAGGACCUCUCGCUACAGGGGCGGCCGAUGGCAGAUUAGCUAGUUGGUGGGGUAAAGGCCUACCAAGGCGACGAUCUGUAGCUGGUCUGAGAGGACGACCAGCCACACUGGGACUGAGACACGGCCCAGACUCCUACGGGAGGCAGCAGUGGGGAAUUUUGGACAAUGGGCGCAAGCCUGAUCCAGCAAUGCCGCGUGUGUGAAGAAGGCCUUCGGGUUGUAAAGCACUUUUGUCCGGAAAGAAAACCUCUGGGUUAAUACCCCGGGGGGAUGACGGUACCGGAAGAAUAAGCACCGGACU
rnacentral:rRNA from 1 species